GACGGAGGGUGCAAGCGUUGUUCGGAUUGACUGGGCGUAAAGGGCGUGUAGGCGGUUGGUUAAGUCGGGUGUGAAAGCCUGAGGCUCAGCCUCAGAAGUGCAUCCGAAACUAGCCAGCUGGAGCGCGAUAGAGGAGGGUGGAAUUCCUGGUGUAGCGGUGAAAUGCGUAGAUAUCAGGAGGAACACCUGUGGCGAAAGCGGCUCACUGGACCACAACUGACGCUGAGGCGCGAAAGCUAGGGGAGCAAACAGG
rnacentral:rRNA from 1 species